rnacentral:rRNA from 1 species
AUGCCACCGGCUGCCGUCGACGUGCACCUCCGACCGCCUCCCGUAUCGGAUCUACAGCUGUGCCGCCGGAUCUCCGCCUCCCCCGCUGCCCCACGAGCUCCUGCUCCACGAGGCGCCAACGUUCUGGAGGAGUACGCCGUGAGGGCCGAGGCGGGCGCCGAGGACGCUGGCGGUGGCGCCCAGCCGGCCUCGUCGUCUGGCGCCAUGUUUGAUGGGAUCCUUGGGGCUCGCCUCGAGCUGGUGUGCUUUUACAGGUGUUGUCCAGGGUUCUCAUGCUUCUCCACAUUCUUACUUAUUGUUUUGUAUUUCUUCAGGAAUUGGAGCGUGUGGUAG